GAACUUAAGAGUUUGAUCCUGGCUCAGAUUGAACGCUGGCGGCAUGCUUUACACAUGCAAGUCGAACGGCAGCACGGGAGCUUGCUCCUGGUGGCGAGUGGCGAACGGGUGAGUAAUGCAUCGGAACGUACCCAGUAGUGGGGGAUAGCCCGGCGAAAGCCGGAUUAAUACCGCAUAUUUCCUGAGGGAGAAAGCGGGGGACCUUCGGGCCUCGCGCUACUGGAGCGGCUGAUGUCGGAUUAGCUAGUUGGUGAGGUAAAGGCUCACCAAGGCGACGAUCCGUAGCUGGUCUGAGAGGAUGAUCAGCCACACUGGGACUGAGACACGGCCCAGACUCCUACGGGAGGCAGCAGUGGGGAAUUUUGGACAAUGGGGGCAACCCUGAUCCAGCCAUGCCGCGUGAGUGAAGAAGGCCUUCGGGUUGUAAAGCUCUUUCAGGUGGAAAGAAAUCACUACCCCGAAUACGGGUGGUGGAUGACGGUACCAUCAGAAGAAGCACCGGCUAACUACGUGCCAGCAGCCG
rnacentral:rRNA from 1 species